GAGUUUGAUCAUGGCUCAGAUUGAACGCUGGCGGCAUGCUUUACACAUGCAAGUCGAACGGGGUGAGGGGGCAACUCCUCAUUCAGUGGCGAACGGGUGAGUAAUGCAUCGGAACAUGUCCAUGUCGUGGGGGAUAGCCCGGCGAAAGCCGGAUUAAUACCGCAUACGCCCGAGAGGGGAAAGCCGGGGACCGCAAGGCCUGGCGCGAUUGGGUUGGCCGAUGUCCGAUUAGCUAGUUGGCGGGGUAAGAGCCCACCAAGGCGAUGAUCGGUAGCUGGUCUGAGAGGAUGAUCAGCCACACUGGGACUGAGACACGGCCCAGACUCCUACGGGAGGCAGCAGUGGGGAAUUUUGGACAAUGGGGGCAACCCUGAUCCAGCCAUUCCGCGUGAGUGAAGAAGGCCUU
rnacentral:rRNA from 1 species